UCCCUCCACAUUCCUGGAACUGUACACCCAUUGGAACCUUUAAGGGCACUCACCGUGAAUGGAGCUUGCAUGACUGGAAGCUGCUUUGGGUGCAAACAGUGUCACCGUGAACUACUGGACAGAUGUACCCUGCACACUGGCUCCUAGCCAAGAAAAAAAUGGGGCCAAACGGAUUGCCAAGCCAUGCACUGUGAGCAGAUGCUUCAAGAGGACCAAGAGGCUUCCGCCCAGAGGGCCUUUCUAUAAUUUAUGCAAAGAACACAAAUGGGCUGUUAACCCUAGCCAAAUUUACAACAUCGAUGCAAUUUGGAGAUAUUCUCCAUUAAGUGUUAUUCCCACAUGACUCAGGA